CAGCAUCCAAGUAAAUUUGAAAAGCAGCAAAGCAUGUAUCUGUGAAACACGUUGUUUAUUCUUUCUACAGAAGGAGGAUCAAACCUUUGGCCAUACCAAACAGAAGCAAGCCUGGGAUGAAAGCAGCCUUGGAGAUGGUAGAAGUGGAGGAAGAUAAAGGAAACAAGGGCAGUGUUUAAUUGGCAGAUGUUUGUGCUGAGUGAUGCUGGUGGAAGGAACAAGAGUUUGGUGAAUGAAGAUGACUGGACCCCCUAAAGGGAAUGUGAACCUGGUCCUGGCUUUGAGGUUUGCUCUCACAACCUACUGCUUCUUUUGGGAGAAAAGGUCAAUGCAAAUUAAUCUCUUCUGGGGGAGUCAGACCUGUGACUUCCCGGGCAUAUCGAAGUCUGGGUAAGGAAACUCCUUCUAUGAAGAUGGAUAUCUGCUUUGCAACUUUGAGCAUUAGAUAAUUGCUGUGAUAGAUUUAAUGAAUUGCCCAA